GACGAACGCUGGCGGCGUGCUUAACACAUGCAAGUCGAACGGAAAGGCCCUGCUUUUGUGGGGUGCUCGAGUGGCGAACGGGUGAGUAACACGUGAGUAACCUGCCCUUGACUUUGGGAUAACUUCAGGAAACUGGGGCUAAUACCGGAUAGGAGCUCCUGCUGCAUGGUGGGGGUUGGAAAGUUUCGGCGGUUGGGGAUGGACUCGCGGCUUAUCAGCUUGUUGGUGGGGUAGUGGCUUACCAAGGCUUUGACGGGUAGCCGGCCUGAGAGGGUGACCGGCCACAUUGGGACUGAGAUACGGCCCAGACUCCUACGGGAGGCAGCAGUGGGGAAUAUUGCACAAUGGGCGGAAGCCUGAUGCAGCAACGCCGCGUGCGGGAUGACGGCCUUCGGGUUGUAAACCGCUUUCACCUGUGACGAAGCGUGAGUGACGGUAAUGGGUAAAGAAGCACCGGCUAACUACGUGCCAGCAGCCGCGGUGAUACGUAGGGUGCGAGCGUUGUCCGGAUUUAUUGGGCGUAAAGGGCUCGUAGGUGGUUGAUCGCGUCGGAAGUGUAAUCUUGGGGCUUAGCCCUGAGCGUGCUUUCGAUACGGGUUGACUUGAGGAAGGUAGGGGAGAAUGGAAUUCCUGGUGGAGCGGUGGAAUGCGCAGAUAUCAGGAGGAACACCAGUGGCGAAGGCGGUUCUCUGGGCCUUUCCUGACGCUGAGGAGCGAAAGCGUGGGGAGCGAACAGGCUUAGAUACCCUGGUAGUCCACGCUGUAAACGGUGGGUACUAGGUGUGGGGUCCAUUCCACGGGUUCCGUGCCGUAGCUAACGCUUUAAGUACCCCGCCUGGGGAGUACGGCCGCAAGGCUAAAACUCAAAGGAAUUGACGGGGCCCCGCACAAGCGGCGGAGCAUGCGGAUUAAUUCGAUGCAACGCGUAGAACCUUACCUGGGUUUGACAUGGAUCGGGAGUGCUCAGAGAUGGGUGUGCCUCUUUUGGGGUCGGUUCACAGGUGGUGCAUGGCUGUCGUCAGCUCGUGUCGUGAGAUGUUGGGUUAAGUCCCGCAACGAGCGCAACCCUUGUUCACUGUUGCCAGCACGUUAUGGUGGGGACUCAGUGGAGACCGCCGGGGUCAACUCGGAGGAAGGUGGGGAUGACGUCAAGUCAUCAUGCCCCUUAUGUCCAGGGCUUCACGCAUGCUACAAUGGCUGGUACAGAGAGUGGCGAGCCUGUGAGGGUGAGCGAAUCUCGGAAAGCCGGUCUCAGUUCGGAUUGGGGUCUGCAACUCGACCUCAUGAAGUCGGAGUCGCUAGUAAUCGCAGAUCAGCAACGCUGCGGUGAAUACGUUCCCGGGGCU
rnacentral:rRNA from 1 species